rnacentral:rRNA from 1 species
UGGGCGUUAAGUUGCAGGGUAUAGACCCGAAACCCGGUGAUCUAGCCAUGGGCAGGUUGAAGGUUGGGUAACACUAACUGGAGGACCGAACCGACUAAUGUUGAAAAAUUAGCGGAUGACCUGUGGCUGGGGGUGAAAGGCCAAUCAAACCGGGAGAUAGCUGGUUCUCCCCGAAAGCUAUUUAGGUAGCGCCUCGUGAAUUCAUCUCCGGGGGUAGAGCACUGUUUCGGCUAGGGGGCCAUCCCGGCUUACCAACCCGAUGCAAACUGCGAAUACCGGAGAAUGUUAUCACGGGAGACACACGGCGGGUGCUAACGUCCGUCGUGAAGAGGGAAACAACCCAGACCGCCAGCUAAGGUCCCAAAGUCAUGGUUAAGUGGGAAACGAUGUGGGAAGGCCCAGACAGCCAGGAUGUUGGCUUAGAAGCAGCCAUCAUUUAAAGAAAGCGUAAUAGCUCACUGGUCGAGUCGGCCUGCGCGGAAGAUGUAACGGGGCUAAACCAUGCAC